rnacentral:rRNA from 1 species
UACGUAGGGUCCGAGCGUUGUCCGGAUUUAUUGGGCUUAAAGGGCGCGUAGGCGGGCAGGUAAGUCCGUGGUGAAAUCUCUGAGCUUAACUCAGAAACUGCCAUGGAUACUAUUUGUCUUGAAUAUUGUGGAGGUAAGCGGAAUAUGUCAUGUAGCGGUGAAAUGCUUAGAUAUGACAUAGAACACCAAUUGCGAAGGCAGCUUACUACACAGUUAUUGACGCUGAGGCACGAAAGCGUGGGGAGCAAACAGG